rnacentral:tRNA from 1 species
GCCGGGGUGGCUCGGUUGGGUAAGCAUCUGACUUCAGCUCAGGUCGUGAUCUCACAGUUUGUGGGUUUGAGUCCCACGUCCGGCU